GGAAGGAUCAUUAUUGAAUGAAAUAUAGAGUUGGUUGUUGCUGGCUUUUAGGGCAUUGUGCACACCUUCUCUUUUCAUCCACACACACCUGUGAACCUGUGAGGCAGGGAAGUGAGAGAAGGCCUUCAUUGGUCUGAUUUUUAUUUUUCCCUGCCUACUUAAUUACACAAACUCAUUUUUUUUAAAUUGAAUGUAAUUGAUGUAACGCAUCAUUUAAUACUAAGUUUCAACAACGGAUCUCUUGGCUCUCGCAUCGAUGAAGAACGCAGCGAAAUGCGAUAAGUAAUGUGAAUUGCAGAAUUCAGUGAAUCAUCGAAUCUUUGAACGCACCUUGCGCUCCUUGGUAUUCCUUGGAGCAUGCCUGUUUGAGUAUCAUGAAAUUCUCAAAGUCAAUCUUUUGUUAAUUCAAUUGAUUGUGCUUUGGACUUGGAGGUCUUUGCGGAUUAAUAAUCUGCUCCUCUUAAAUUCAUUAGCUGGAUCUCAGUAUAUGCUUGGUUCCACUCGGCGUGAUAAGUUAUCACUCGCUGAGGACACUGUAAAAGGUGGCCAGGAAAUACAGAUGAACCGCUUCUAAUAGUCUAUUAAAUUAGACAAUUAAAUUUUAAGAUCUGAUCUCAAAUCAGGUAGGACUACCCGCUGAACUUAAGCAUAUCAAUAAGCGGAGGAAAAGAAACUAACAAGGAUUCCCCUAGUAACGGCGAGUGAAGCGGGAAAAGCUCAAAUUUAAAAUCUGGCAGUGAAUUCUGUCCGAGUUGUAGUCUAGAGAAGCAUCAUCCGUGCUGGACCAUGUAUAAGUCUCUUGGAACAGAGCGUCAUAGAGGGUGAGAAUCCCGUCUUUAACAUGGACUCCCAGUACUUUGUGUUGUGCUCUCAACGAGUCGAGUUGUUUGGGAAUGCAGCUCAAAAUGGGUGGUAAAUUCCAUCUAAAGCUAAAUAUUGGCGAGAGACCGAUAGCGAACAAGUACCGUGAGGGAAAGAUGAAAAGCACUUUGGAGAGAGAGUUAAACAGUACGUGAAAUUGUUGAAAUGGAAACGCUUGAAGUCAGUCGCGUUCUCUGGGAUUCAGCCUUGCUUCUGCUUGGUGCAUUUCCUAGUCUACGGGCCAGCAUGAAUUUUGACCAGUGGAAAAGGAUUUGGGGAAUGUGGCACCUUUUUGGUGUGUUAUAGCCCCUUGUCGCACACACUGGUUGGGAUUGAGGACUCAUAGUGCACGCUUUUAGUUGUGCUUUGAUGCUGGCGUAAUGGCUUUAAACGACCCGUCUUGAAACACGGACCAAGGAGUCUAACAUGUCUGCGAGUAUUUGGGUGACAAACCCGGAUGCGAAAUGAAAGUGAUAAGUUGGGAACCUUGUAUGAGGGGCACCGACGCCCGGACCAGACCUUCUGUGACGGAUCCGAGGUAGAGCAUAUAUGUUGGGACCCGAAAGAUGGUGAACUAUGCCUGCAUAGGGUGAAGCCAGAGGAAACUCUGGUGGAGGCUCGUAGCGAUUCUGACGUGCAAAUCGAUCGUCAAAUGUGGGUAUAGGGGCGAAAGACUAAUCGAACCAUCUAGUAGCUGGUUCCUGC
rnacentral:misc_RNA from 1 species